AAGGAAAAAAUCCUCCACUUUUGUCCGACCAAACCCGCAGCCCUUGUCCUGUCGCAGCGUCACUCCCCUCCCCGUAGCUUCCCGACGUUGCACUGCUCCCCUCCCCGCUGCGCCGCGCCGGUGAGCUCCUCCGUGCCGCUGAGCUCGCUCACCCCGCUGAGAUCCCCCGCGCCUCCUCUCCCUCCUCCACGCUGCCGCGCCACUCCAGUUCGCUGCGUAACUCCUCCUCUCCCGUAAAAAUCCCUUCUUUCGGUGAGGUUCUCUUCGACGAGGCGCCGCUCGAUCUGGAGGAUGACGACAAGUUGGCGCUCGAUCUGGAGCAUGGCGACGGCAUGGGGCGGGCGCUCUCGUCCUCGAGCUCCUAGUCCACCAGCUCCUCUUCCUCCUCCAGGCCCUCCUCAACAUCACCGGCAACGACGGCAUGGGGAAGACGACGGCGGCGGCUGUGAAAGUCGACCCCAACAAAGGCGGAUCCUCCUCAACAUCCCAGGCUCCUCCUCCUUUAGGUCCUCCUCGUGCUCAUCUAUCUCAUGCCAACAAGUUUACAAGGACAACAUUUCUGUCAAACUAAAGCAAGCAAACACUUAACUGGAUUUGCAAUGACAGGCUCUUUCACCAAUGUGAAAAAAUGAGGGGAGCAGGGCCAGGAAUUAAAAAGCAACGAAAGCAGGGGCCAUGAGUACAUCUCAACUUUUACUGUAUUUCUUAUUGACAACUAGUGUAGGUACACAUUCUGAAUAUUGAAAUUAUCUUCUGUUAGUUACUAGGAUAGUGGUUCAUCCUGCUUGUCUGAUCUGUGGAGGAUACCAAGGGCAUCAACCUCCCCAACUUGAAUUUGUGUUGUUGUUACUUGACAUGUUUGUGUUCCUCAUUUGGAUUCACGUAAGACCUGUGAUACUUUGGAGAGGGACUUGGUAGUAUUAUAUGGGCAGUUUGGCCACAUAGUUUGGCAACCUUGUUUGAGGAGAACAAGUUUGCAUGCUGAUAAUCUUACCUACUUUGUGACAGAUCAACAUAUAAUUUCUUCUGGACUUGGAAUGAUGUGUGCUAAACUGCUAAUAGUAUAAUAAUAAAACAUAUAGUGCAGUCAUUGAUUUAUCAUUUAUGUAACCUAACCUGUGAUUCUUUUUGUCAUUUUGUUAAUGUUGCUGGUGUCUCAUAGGUUGCGCAUAACGGCUUACCCGCCCUGGCAAUUUUGCUGCCCUUCUCAUGCAUCCUAGGCCUCUUCUCAUCACUGACCACAACAAGCAUGGUGGCGAGGAGAUGUGUGGAUCUACGCGGCGAUCCAGUUCCUCUUCGUCUUGUUCUUCACGCAUCUGUUCUACAGAUAUCUGCAUCUGCAGGCUGUGAUAUCCAUCAUCCUGACAACCUUACCAUGACACUACUAUUAUUGGACAAUUUUUACACUCAUCUCUACCUGGAGAACAAAUUCCUUAGUGCAAUUAAUCGAUUGAAUUUACACUCAUAUGCAGAUUGCGUAGAAAAAUUGACUGUAUUUUGAUGACUGAAUUUAAAAUCACUACUUGGAGUACACACUGACUGAAUUUAACACUGCAAUUGAUUAUCCUAUGAUCCAUGGACACUGCAAUUGUGCAUUAUCCUAGAUACAGAACAUGGAUCUCUGAAUAAUUCAACAAUUGAGAGGCAUAACAUUUUUUCCUUCUCCCAUUUUAGACCAUAACAACAAAAAUCUGGUCCAGUUGCUCUUGAUGAUGCAUUUAGUUAACUCGUAAUUUUGCCAAAAUCUAGACAAGUUGCUCUUGAUGCAUUCAGUUAACUUGAUGCUAUUAGUCCAGAGAACAUGUUCAGUUUUCUUAAUAGCAGAUCAAUUUUCUUCAGAGAACAUGAUCAGUUUUCUUAAGAGCAGAUCAAUUUUCUUCAGUGAACAUGAUGAGUAGUGUUUGAAAUUGUAAUGUACAGAAAUUGGAGCACCACGAGCAAGCAGGCAGAGGAGCAGAUUUACAGAGGGGUGCUUCUUCUCACCAGCAGCAACACGAGCAGGGGAGCUACGGGCGGAGGAGCAGCAACUUGCACAGGAGCAGGCCUGCUGGGAGCUUGAGGACGAGCUUGAGGUCGAGGCCCACCGGGAGCUCCAGCUCCAGGCGCUCGAAACGCAGGCGCGCACAGGUCCCGGGCGGCGGGAAGGGAUACCGGCGGCGCAGGCCCAGGGCGGCGGGUGGGGAUAGUGGCGGCGCAACCCUGGGCUGGCAGGAGGGGUCACCGCGGGAGGGGAUAGCGGCGGUGCAGCGCCCUUCAGCCCUGGAGUCGCCGCCCAUCGAGGUGGUCGCCACGGAGGAGUAGGUGGCCGGCGGGUGGUGCAACUCGUCUCCGUGCGGGCGGCACGGGUGGGCAGGGGCGGCGAAGGUUCGCGCGGUGGCGCAGGUUGGUCGUCGUCGCGCGCUGGUCUUUGUGGGUGCCAACGGUGGUUGUGGUGACCACGAUAUGCGCUGACGACGGCGGAAGGAGGAAGAAGCAGAGGGGGCUAAUUAGCAUAAGUUUAAAAGAUGAAGGGUUUUUUGAAAAAUUGUAAAUGAACUAAGGAAUGGACAACUUUUCCCGGACGGAGAGAGUAGCUACUAGCUACGGACCCGAACGUUUACAAAACACUACUCACGCAUCAUCGGAGAGGCACCAAUGGAAGUGGUGAACCCCUCCGUGAUGGUGUCUAGAUUGGAUCUGGUGGUUCUGGACUAUGCGGCAGCUGGAAUUGAUUUUCGUCAAGU